CUGGAAUAGUCAAAGAUCAGAAGAACCUCCGAAGAAAUACUCCUCAACAUAUAGGUGGAACGUUCAGUAAAACUUCUUUAGUUCCUCAGGAACGUAUCAGUGAUGAAGCAGGUUCUGAUCCUCCUCCUGUAUCUUACAGCUUAUCAACGCCUGUUUCAUCCGGAAUUUAAGCCGCUUUUCUGUGACUACCAGCAGAAGCGCCGGUGAAUCCAACUUAAACAGCAAUUCCAACUCUUCUUCUAAAGCUAAGUACAUUUGUCUAUUAUUAUGGCCCCAGCAGGAGCUCUGGGAGAAAUGGGGUUAGGGUUAAGAGAAAUUAUUCAUAAACACGGCAUAAAAUUUCACUGCUAUGCAGAUGACACACAGCUGUAUAUAUCAGCCAAACCAAAUGAUACUGACACAAUCAGUAAGAUAGAAGAUUAAAGUGUAAACGACAUAAAAAACUGGAUGUCGUG